GUGGGUGUAGCUCAACUGGCAGAGCACUGGUCUCCAAAACCAGCGGUUGAAGGUUCGACUCCUUCCAUCCAUG
rnacentral:tRNA from 1 species